CACUAUGCCUAGCCCUAAACAUUGACAGUUAAUUACACCCACUGUCCGCCUGGGGACUACGAGCACCAGCUUAAAACCCAAAGGACUUGGCGGUGCUUUAGACCCACCUAGAGGAGCCUGUUCUAGAACCGAUAAUCCCCGUUAAACCUCACCCUUCCUUGUCAUUUCCGCCUAUAUACCACCGUCGUCAGCUUACCCUGUGAAGGCCCUAUAGUAAGCACAAUCGGUAGAACCCAGAACGUCAGGUCGAGGUGUAGCGAAUGGAAGGGGAAGAAAUGGGCUACAUUUACUAGUACAGUAAAUACGGAUGAUCACCCUGCAACGAGUAUCUGAAGGAGGAUUUAGCAGUAAGCAAAAAAUAGAGUGUUUUGCUGAAAUUGGCCCUGAAGCGUGCACACACCGCCCGUCACUCUCUCCAAACUAAAAAAUUUUUUAAUAACUAAUACACUACAACUGUAAAGGGGAGGCAAGUCGUAA
rnacentral:rRNA from 1 species